rnacentral:piRNA from 1 species
UCAUCUUGACUGUAGCUGCCAUAAUCCC